rnacentral:rRNA from 1 species
CAGUAGCCACGGGAAUACGUAGGGGGCAAGCGUUAUCCGGAUUUACUGGGUGUAAAGGGAGCGCAGACGGCAGUGCAAGUCUGAAGUGAAAGGCGUGGGCUCAACCCAUGAACUGCUUUGGAAACUGUAUAGCUUGAGUGUCGGAGGGGUAAGCGGAAUUCCUAGUGUAGCGGUGAAAUGCGUAGAUAUUAGGAGGAACACCGGAGGCGAAGGCGGCUUACUGGACGACAACUGACGUUGAGGCUCGAAGGCGUGGGGAGCAAACAGGAUUAGAUACCCGUGUAGUCCCUGUCUCUUAUAC